AUACAUUAAUUUAAAAAAUGUCCCUAAUAAAAGAUGUUGAUUCUUAUACACGUUUAAGGCUGCCUGUCCACCGGAGCGGAGCGAGGCAGCGGAGCGGAGUAACAGAGUAAUGCGGAGCCGAGUUGCAGACUGUGUAUGUCCACCAGAGCGGAGCUAGAAAGUAAUGCGGAGCGGAGUUGCGGACUAUUUUUUAUACGCGGGGAUAUGAGUACGCGACGAGUUAUUUCGAGCUCUCGGCGGCAAGCGAUUGAUUUAGUGCUACGCGAAAUGUCAGUGACAGCAGACAUGUUGUCGAAACAGUUAAUACGUUAUUACUUUACAUUACUAGAGGCAGAAAAGAGUUGGAGUCAGAAGAAACAGAAUUAUAUACCAUUUGAACAAUUCUAUAAGGAAACAUAGAUUUUGGUUAAGAAAUCAUAUCAAACAUCGUUCAGAACACAGUGAAUAUUUUACCUUUUUCCAAACUGCUGAUGAAGAAACAUUCGAAAAUUCUUAUAGAGUUUCAAGAUGUACUUUUCAUGAACUUCAUUCUCUGAUAGAACCAUAUAUUCGGAAACAAGACACAAAUUACAGGAAAUCAAUCAGUAGCUGUGAAAGAUUAGCAGUGUGUUUAAACUACUCAUUCCUUAACUGGAAAGCAAGCACCGGCGUUUGUGAACAAACCACCGAAAAAGCAAUUGGGCCCCAAAUUAGUAGACGAUAUUGUCAACACCGUCGCUGAAAAGUGCAAUGUUCCUAAAAGGAUUAGGAGCACCAUUACGACGAAAUGUUCGGACGAAGCAAAGUUAUAUAAAAAUCGUCAAAGGUUCAGAAAAAGCACGAACAACAAAACUGAGAGAACGUUCCGCCAUCUUCUGAGAAGCGGACGAAUCCACCACAGUUGAG